rnacentral:rRNA from 1 species
GUCUAUGGCCAUACCACCCUGAACGCACCUGAUCUCGUCUGAUCUCGGAAGCUAAGCAGGGUUGGGCCUGGUUAGUACUUGGAUGGGAGAAAUAUUAAAAUGUCUUUUUUGGGGACACCUGAGUGGCUCAGUUG